rnacentral:rRNA from 1 species
UUGACCUCAAAUCAGGUAGGACUACCCGCUGAACUUAAGCAUAUCAAUAAGCGGAGGAAAAGAAACUAACAAGGAUUCCCCUAGUAACUGCGAGUGAAGCGGGAAAAGCUCAAAUUUGAAAUCUGGCAGUCUUUUUUUUCUUCUUUGGCUGUCCGAGUUGUAAUCUAGAGAAGUGCUUACCUGCACUGGACCAUGUAUAAGUCUCCUGGAAUGGAGCCUCACAGAGGGUGAGAAUCCCGUCUUUGACAUGGACCGCCAGUGCGUUGUGGUGCGCUCUCAAAGAGUCGAGUUGUUUGGGAAUGCAGCUCUAAAUGGGUGGUAAACUCCAUCUAAAGCUAAAUAUUGGCGAGAGACCGAUAGCGAACAAGUACCGUGAGGGAAAGAUGAAAAGGACUUUGGAAAGAGAGUUAAACAGUAUGUGAAAUUGUUGAAAGGGAAACGCUUGAAGUCAGUUAUGUCUGCUAGGGAUCAACCUAGCUAUUCUUUGGCUGGGUGAAUUUCCUGGUCUGACAGGCCAACAUCAGUCUUGACUGCCGGAAAAGAGCGGAGGGAAUGUGGCACCUUUGGGUGUGUUAUAGCCCUCUGUCAUAUGCGGCGGUCGGGACUGAGGGAUGCAGCGUGCCGCGAGGCUGGGUUUCGACCAC